rnacentral:rRNA from 1 species
UGCAGUCGGACGGGAUAGAAGAGCUUGCUUUUCUUGAGAGUGGCGCACGGGUGCGUAACACGUAUGUAACCUACCUUGUUCAGGGGGAUAGCCUCUCGAAAGAGAGAUUAAGACCGCAUAACAUCAUUUUAUGGCAUCGUAGAAUGAUCAAAUAUUUAUAGGAACAAGAUGGGCAUGCGGAACAUUAGCUAGUUGGUAAGGUAAAGGCUUACCAAGGCUACGAUGUUUAGGGGAUCUGAGAGGAUGACCCCCCACACUGGUACUGAGACACGGACCAGACUCCUACGGGAGGCAGCAGUAAGGAAUAUUGGUCAAUGGGCGCAAGCCUGAACCAGCCAUGCCGCGUGCAGGAAGACGGCCCUACGGGUUGUAAACUGCUUUUGUACCGGAAUAAACCUUGAUACGUGUAUCGAGCUGAAUGUACGGUAAGAAUAAGGAUCGGCUAACUCCGUGCCAGCAGCCGCGGUAAUACGGAGGAUCCAAGCGUUAUCCGGAUUUAUUGGGUUUAAAGGGUGCGUAGGUGGCCUGUUAAGUCAGGGGUGAAAGACGGUAGCUUAACUAUCGCAGUGCCUUUGAUACUGACGGGCUUGAAUACACUAGAGGUAGGCGGAAUGUGACAAGUAGCGGUGAAAUGCAUAGAUAUGUCACAGAACACCAAUUGCGAAGGCAGCUUACUAUGG